GCCUGGGUGGCUCAGUCGGUUAAGCAUCUGACUUCGGCUCAGGUCAUGAUCUCGCGGUCCGUGGGUUCGAGUCCCACGUCGGGCU
rnacentral:tRNA from 1 species